ACUGGGAGAGUACUUGACUUGCAGGGGCAAGUGUGCUUUGGCACAUCCACAGCCACAGGAGUGCAUCACUGAGGUCUCAGACCUAUCUAUGGAGGCAGCCAGACUUAGAGGAGUUUUGGAGAGUGGAUUUGAUUUCCUGAGGAGAGAGAUCAGAGGCUCUAGUGAGCAUGCAUCCACCCAGUUCACUGCACUGCUACAGUCUGUUUCGAGAGCUCUGAACCUUUUGGACACCAUCAGACUCUCUCUUGCAGUUCAGUCUGUUGCUUCUCAGCCUUCAGGAUCAUCACACCCGCCCACUUGUGCCGGCACCUCCACUCGUGGUAGAGGCAGACGGGGUAGAGGUCGAGCCCUUGGUCGUCAUCCUUCAUCUCCUCACCCCAUCUCUGAUUCAUCUGACUCUGAUCCAUCCAGUCAUGAUCUCUACUAGAUCCUUGUAGUUAGUCUUUUCUUUAGUUUCUUUCUAGGAUCUAUCUUUUGAGCCAUGUAAUGAUGUUGACUGAUUGACUUUUGCAUUUUGGUAUAUGUAUUGGAACAACUAUAUGGUAUCAAUCACUUUUUGAUUAUAUAUAUAUACUCUUUGACUUUCAAUGAAUGACCUUCAAAUUUAGUUGCUUU
rnacentral:lncRNA from 1 species